rnacentral:rRNA from 1 species
GACGAACGCUGGCGGCGUGCCUAAUACAUGCAAGUCGAGCGAGUCUGCCUUGAAGAUCGGAGUGCUUGCACUCUGUGAAACAAGAUACAGGCUAGCGGCGGACGGGUGAGUAACACGUGGGUAACCUGCCCAAGAGAUCGGGAUAACACCUGGAAACAGAUGCUAAUACCGGAUAACAACAGAUGAUGCCUAUCAACUGUUUAAAAGAUGGUUCUGCUAUCACUCUUGGAUGGACCUGCGGUGCAUUAGCUAGUUGGUAGGGUAACGGCCUACCAAGGCGAUGAUGCAUAGCCGGGUUGAGAGACUGAUCGGCCACAUUGGGACUGAGACACGGCCCAAACUCCUACGGGAGGCAGCAGUAGGGAAUCUUCCACAAUGGACGCAAGUCUGAUGGAGCAACGCCGCGUGAGUGAAGAAGGGUUUCGGCUCGUAAAGCUCUGUUGUUGGUGAAGAAGGACAGGGGUAGUAACUGACCUUUGUUUGACGGUAAUCAAUUAGAAAGUCACGGCUAACUACGUG